CCCAGGCAGGCGGCGAUGGGGGGCUGCGGGGCGCGGCGGGUGCCUGCCUGCCUUUGGCUGGCGCUGGCGCUAGCGCGGGGCGGCCCCCGGGGCCCGGGGGUGCUGGCGGCAGAGGGCGAGGCGGGCGCCGAGGCGCCUUGCGGGGCCGAGGGGUGGCCGCAGGCCGCCGGCCCCCCGGGCCCGGCCUUCGUGGCCGCGGCGUCGUACCGCGGCCCGGGCAACAACGACACGCGGGGCAACAAGGCGCUGCCCAUCGUGCUGUGGUGGAGCGGCAGCCUCUUUCCGCACUUCCCCGGGGAGACGGAGCGCAUCGACUGCCCGCGGGGCUCCUGCCUGGCCACCCGCAGCCGCCGGGUGGCGCGGCACCGCCGCACCAAGGCGCUCAUCUUCUACGGCACCGACUUCAGGGCCUACGAGGCGCCGCUGCCCCGCCUGCCCCACCAGACGUGGGCGCUCUUCCACGAGGAGUCCCCCAUGAACAACUACCUCCUCUCGCACUCGCCCGGCAUCCAGCUCUUCAACUACACGGCCACCUUCCGCAGGGAGUCCGACUACCCGCUCACGUUGCAGUGGUUGCCCAGUGUCGGCUACCUGAGGGGCCCACCGGUGGCCCUGGCCGAGAAGGAUGCGUGGCGGCGGCGGGGCUACGGGCCGGUGCUGUACAUGCAGUCCCACUGCGACGUGCCCUCGGACAGGGACCGCUACGUGCGGGAGCUCAUGAAAUACAUCCAGGUUGACUCUUAUGGGAAGUGCCUGCAUAACCGUGAGCUUCCCAGUGAGCGACUGAAAGACACUUCUACAGCCACUACAGAAGAUUCCGAAUUCAUGGCUUUUAUUGCCAGGUACAAGUUUCACCUGGCCUUGGAGAAUGCCAUAUGUAAUGACUACAUGACAGAAAAGCUGUGGCGGCCAAUGCAUUUGGGCGCUGUCCCAGUAUACCGAGGCUCCCCGGCUGUACGGGACUGGAUGCCAAACAACCUCUCCAUCAUUCUUAUAGAUGACUUUGAAAGCCCUCAAGAGCUGGCUAAGUAUCUUCAUUUCCUGGAUGAGAAUGGAGAGGAAUACAUGAAGUAUCUAGAGUAUAAAAAUCCCAGGGGAAUCAAAAACCAGUUCUUGUUAGAGACCUUGGAGAGGCGGGAGUGGGGUGUGAAUGACAUGACUUUGCCCAACUACCUGAAUGGCUUCGAGUGUUUCGUCUGUGACAGGGAGAACGCCCGGAUCAAAGAGGAGCAGGAACACAAAAAGUCUCGUGGGAAAGUUCCAGCUCCUAGACCUCAAGUAGCUCAUUUCCAGCACAUGGGAUGCCCUAUGCCAACCCCUGGGUUUGGAAGUGUUGAAGACCUCUCUGGAGGAGACAGUUGGAAAGAGAUGUGGCUGCAGGAUUAUUGGCAAAGCCUGGAUCAGGGUGAGGCCCUCACUGCUAUGAUUCAUCGUAAUGAGUCGCAUCAGGGAAGAUUUUGGGAUUAUAUGCAUGAGAUUUUUCUCAAGAGGACCAGGCAACACUGACCCAUCUUUGUAAGAGCUUGAUCUGAAAAUUGCAUUGAAAGUUGAGACUGAGAAUUCUUACUUCACUCCAAAUGUUUGCCUUGAAGUAGGAGAAAAGCCUCCUGCAGACACUGUUUUUCUGGUGCAUGAAGUGACACAAACCGGAUGAGAGACUAAAUUAUUUAAUUCACAACUUUCAACCAAGUAUUUGAAAGGUAUUGUGCAGAACCACAGUAGAAUUAGUAUGCUUUGGUUCUUUUACGUUUCCAUAAAAUCUGAAAUCCCAGCUAUAAUCUUGACUUCUUGUUCUCUCCUUAAUGCCAGCAAGUCAGGGGCCUGUGAUUUGUUCUUUUUCAGUAUCUGCAGCUUCUGUCCCUAAUUAAGUCAUUAUCUGUUGCUUAUCUGUGUAUGGCUCACUUAAUCUCAUAUUUUUUUCUCAAAUUCAUAGUAUUCUAGGUAUAGAUACAAUACUAGCAUAGGUAAUGACAUACAUCCCAGCGUGUACUUCUCAGGUGAUACCACAAUGUUGCAGUGUUAAAAUGUGGGCACUGGGACAGAGCAGACCUACAACUAUUGCUGCGUUCAUGCGGAUGUGGAAAAUGCAUUGUUUUAGUCUAAAAUGUGCACCUGAUUUUUUUGUAUAAAAUAAGG